GAUGAAGAACGUAGCGAAAUGCGAUAAGUAAUGUGAAUUGCAGAAUUCAGUGAAUCAUCGAAUCUUUGAACGCACAUUGCGCCCCCUGGUAUUCCGGGGGGCAUGCCUGUCCGAGCGUCAUUACAACCCUCAAGCUCAGCUUGGUGUUGGGCCCCGCCGCCCCGGCGGGCCCUAAAGUCAGUGGCGGUGCCGUCCGGCUCCGAGCGUAGUAAUUCUUCUCGCUCUGGAGGCCCGGUCGUGUGCUCGCCAGCAACCCCCAAUUUUUUAAGGUUGACCUCGGAUCAGGUAGGGAUACCCGCUGAACUUAAGCAUAUCAAUAAGCGGAGGA
rnacentral:misc_RNA from 1 species